UGCCAGCAGCCGCGGUAAUACUGAAGGUACAAGCGUUAAUCGGAAUCACUGGGCGUAAAGCGCUCGUAGGUGGCUUUGUAAGUCAGAUGUGAAAGCUCCGAGCUCAACUCGGAAAAUGCAUUGAAUACUACUGGCUUGAGGAUCGGAGGGGAGACUGGAAUUCUCGGUGUAGCAGUGAAAUGCGUAGAUAUCGAGAGGAACACCAGUGGCGAAGGCGAGUCUCUGGACGAUUCCUGACACUGAGGCACGAAAGCUAGGGGAGCAAACAGGAUUAGAUA
rnacentral:rRNA from 1 species